AAGCACCGGCUAACUCCGUGCCAGCAGCCGCGGUAAUACGGAGGGUGCGAGCGUUAAUCGGAAUUACUGGGCGUAAAGGGUGCGUAGGUGGUUUGGUAAGUUAUCUGUAAAAGCCCUGGGCUCAACCUGGGAAGGCCAGAUAAAACUGCUGGACUCGAGUAUAGGAGAGGGUAGUGGAAUUUCCGGUGUAGCGGUGAAAUGCGUAGAGAUCGGAAGGAACACCAGUGGCGAAGGCGGCUACCUGGCCUGAUACUGACACUGAGGCACGAAAGCGUGGGGAGCAAACAGGAUUAGAUACCCUGGUAGUCCACGCUGUAAACGAUGUCAACU
rnacentral:rRNA from 1 species